rnacentral:rRNA from 1 species
GGAAUCUUGCACAAUGGAGGAAACUCUGACGCAGCGAUGCCGCGUGAGUGAAGAAGGCCUUUGGGUUGUAAAGCUCUUUUGUAGGGGAAGAUAAUGACUGUACCCUAAGAAUAAGGUCCGGCUAACUUCGUGCCAGCAGCCGCGGUAAUACGAAGGGACCUAGCGUAGUUCGGAAUUACUGGGCGUAAAGCGCGCGUAGGCCGUUGAGUUAGUUAAUUGUGAAAUCCCAAAGCUUAACUUUGGAACUGCAAUUAAAACUGCUCGACUAGAGUUUGAUAGAGGAAAGCGGAAUACAUAGUGUAGAGGUGAAAUUCGUAGAUAUUAUGUAGAACACCAGUUGCGAAGGCGGCUUUCUGGAUCAACACUGACGCUGAGGCGCGAAAGUAUGGGUAGCAAAGAGGAUUAGAUACCCUCGUAGUCCAUACCACAAACGAUGAUUGCUAGAUGUUGGAAAUUUAUUUUCAGUAUCGCAGCUAACGCAUUAAGCAAUCCGCCUGGGGAGUACGACCGCAAGGUUAAAACUCAAAUGAAUUGACGG